rnacentral:sRNA from 1 species
GCUAGGUAUGGUCACGCAUGCCUAUAAUCCCAGCUUCUUGGGAUGCUGAGGCAGGAGGAUCUCAAGUUCAAAGCCAGGCUCAGCAACAUAUGGAGGCCCUAAGCAACUUAGCAAGAUCCUGUCUCAA